rnacentral:lncRNA from 1 species
UGUGGGAAAGCAGAAGCAGAAGCCAUCCUGCAAUAAAGGAGGCAGAGAAGAAUCCGCACCAACAGAUGAAAUAAAUUCUAAACUUAUAGAACUGUGAGUGACUGUGGUUCAGCAAAUAGUUUAUUAAACCUCUGACACUAACGCGGAAGCAACCUGUGUCUAGUUAACGUUCCGGGACAGCCUCUCGAACACAGGCCCUCAGGCAAAUGUCUCGACCUGGAGAACAGUUAUCUCAUCGCUGUGGUUUCAGGGAAAAUCUCCAAACUAAGCAAAUUCUCACCUAUUGUUUGGUGGAGAACUCUGCCUUGUCAGCAUUAACUGGAACGGACAAGAAAGGACGGCCCGCUGCCGGUUAUCUUGGAACAGCAAUGGAGGUGGGUCUUGUGAUGAGAAUGGGGAAAGAACUCUUCCUUUCUCUAGGGCCAGAGGUUGGACCAGC